rnacentral:rRNA from 1 species
AGUGAACGCUGGCGGUAGGCCUAACACAUGCAAGUCGAACGGCAGCACAGUAAGAGCUUGCUCUUACGGGUGGCGAGUGGCGGACGGGUGAGGAAUACAUCGGAAUCUACUUUUUGUGGGGGAUAACGUAGGGAAACUUACGCUAAUACCGCAUACGACCUACGGGUGAAAGCAGGGGAUCUUCGGACCUUGCGCGAUUGAAUGAGCCGAUGUCGGAUUAGCUAGUUGGCGGGGUAACGGCCCACCAAGGCGACGAUCCGUAGCUGGUCUGAGAGGAUGAUCAGCCACACUGGAACUUAGACACGGUCCAGACUCCUACGGGAGGCAGCAGUGGGGAAUAUUGGACAAUGGGCGCAAGCCUGAUCCAGCCAUACCGCGUGGGUGAAGAAGGCCUUCGGGUUGUAAAGCCCUUUUGUUGGGAAAGAAAAGCAGCAGGUUAAUACCCCGCUGUUCUGACGGUACCCAAAGAAUAAGCACCGGCUAACUUCGUG